rnacentral:rRNA from 1 species
UACGGGGGGGGCGAGCGUUGUUCGGAAUCACUGGGCGUAAAGCGCACGUAGGCGGAUUUGUCAGUCAGGGGUGAAAUCCCGGGGCUCAACCUCGGAACUGCCUUUGAUACAGCAAGUCUUGAGUUCGAGAGAGGUGGGUGGAAUUCCUAGUGUAGAGGUGAAAUUCGUAGAUAUUAGGAAGAACACCGGUGGCGAAGGCGGCCCACUGGCUCGAUACUGACGCUGAGGUGCGAAAGCGUGGGGAGCAAACAGG